AAGCCUGAUGCAGCAACGCCGCGUGAGGGACGAAGGCCUUAGGGUUGUAAACCUCUUUUAGUAGGGAAGAAGCGAAAGUGACGGUACCUGCAGAAAAAGCACCGGCUAACUACGUGCCAGCAGCCGCGGUAAUACGUAGGGUGCAAGCGUUGUCCGGAAUUAUUGGGCGUAAAGAGCUCGUAGGCGGUUUGUCGCGUCUGCUGUGAAAACUGGAGGCUCAACCUCCAGCCUGCAGUGGGUACGGGCAGACUAGAGUGCGGUAGGGGAGAUUGGAAUUCCUGGUGUAGCGGUGGAAUGCGCAGAUAUCAGGAGGAACACCGAUGGCGAAGGCAGAUCUCUGGGCCGUAACUGACGCUGAGGAGCGAAAGCAUGGGGAGCGAACAGGAUUAGAUACCCUGGUAGUCCAUGCCGUAAACGUUGGGAACUAGAUGUAGGGGCCAUUCCACGGUUUCUGUGUCGCAGCUAACGCAUUAAGUUCCCCGCCUGGGGAGUACGGCCGCAAGGCUAAAACUCAAAGGAAUUGACGGGGGCCCGCACAAGCGGCGGAGCAUGCGGAUUAAUUCGAUGCAACGCGAAGAACCUUACCAAGGCUUGACAUAUACCGGAAACGGCUAGAGAUAGUCGCCCCGCAAGGUCGGUAU
rnacentral:rRNA from 1 species